UUGUCAGUUUUCCCCCUUCUAUCUCACUCACUAUUAUCUCCCAAUUUUCGCACACUCCCUCUUCCUCGAAACCCUAGCUCUCUCCUCCUUCCUCUUCCGCUCUCUUUCCACGGCCACCACUGCCUCCCUCUCCUCCGCUCACUCCCGCUACUAUCUCUCUCUCAUUAACCGCCUCCGCCCCUUCGGCGGCGCCAUCAUCUCCACUGACAAUUUCUCUCUCUGCAAAUGAAACACAUUUUUAGCAAAGCAAACUCAAACAAGUGUCCUUCUCUAAUCCCCAUCCCUUCCGUCAAGCCCUAGUUCCAGCAAGCCAAGGAGAAUGCGCCUCCGCCUUCAGAUCUAAUUCGUCAUCCUUUUGAUUCUCACAGACGGAGAUUCCCAAUUCCUCCCUCUUUCUAUAAAGAAUCGAUUCACGAUGGCCCCUUUUUAUCCAGAUUCAAUUUCCCCAGGUAGUGUUUGUUUGAUUUUUGGUACAUGGAGAUGAAUUCUGUUCCAUUUUGUGUGGUUUCAGUUUUAGAUUUUCAAUUUUAAUUUUUUUUUUUUUUUGUUUGGGGUUUCAUUUGAGGGCGAUGGCUAUGACGGUGAAGCAAAUGGCCUUUUUUGGAGGUGGAUUACCCCUCGUGAACCACCUGGCAAAAAUGUGGAGGAGUGGGGAAGUGGUUUUGAUACUUGAAGAUGACCAUGAAUUGGUUUCACUUGAUAUUGUGAGCAAACAACUUAAAAAUUUUGGGAUUUCUACAGACCAGGGUUGUCCUGUUGGCUCGUAUGAAGAGAGCCUACUCUUGCUUGACAGAAAGGAUGCAAUUUCUUACUGAGGGGAAAGAAGAGGCUAAGAACUUUGUAACUAGUUUAAUAGGAAUGAUGCAAUCCUACUCCAAUAAACAAGCUCAGAGCGAAAACAAAAAUUUGAGAAUAUGUCGAUACAAGCUCAAGUUCAGUGCUGAUAAGAAGUGACAGCAACAUUUCUUGUGUUGGUCGUAUUGCCAUUCAAUCAUUCUGUGUUCCACAGUGUGGUUAUUCCAGCCUGGAAUGGGACAUGCUUUCCUUCCUUAGAUCUCUAAAAAGCAUGCGACAAUCUUCAAUGCAGUUGUUGUGACAUCCCCGCCUAGUCUUCUUUCAUCAUCAUCCUCCUCUACAAGAUGGCAGCACAUGGCAUCCUCCCUUUAAUACUACUACAUGCGCGCUCUCGCCUUGGUCAAGAGAUUCGAUUAUGUUAAGUCAUUGCCCUCUACUUUUAACUACUUUUUGUGAUUUGAAGUUGCAAUUUAAGUGGAUAUCUGUGAAACUAGUUCUCAACUCAUUGGCACAUGUAUUUGCUAGGUUCAUUCGCAGCUACACCAAGGACUGGAAAUUCAAGUUACCAGUAUUUUUAUCUUAUAACAAACUGCUACUUUUUUCUCCUUUUCUUUUUAUUGUAUCUACAAACAGAGCAACUUGUCUUCAUAUGGUUUAUUUAGGAAACUUUAAUCUUGUUCUUUUCUUUUGCUAUUGUAUAUGGAGAAGUUUAGGCCAUAUGUCCCUUUCUCUCUACUCUUUGUAUUGUUUUUAUCAAUAAUAUUAAUGAGAAUUUUCUUUUG